rnacentral:lncRNA from 1 species
CGACCAUCAACCUUCAACAGCGCCAGCUGCCCUUCCACAGAUCCAUCCGGUCUCCUCCAGCGGACGAACUUUCACAACACCUUCCGAAUUUCGCUAUCAGCUAACCUUCUGUCGGAUCCCUCGUGCAACCGAACCUCUUCGGUGGAUAGCCCUCAGACAAGCUUCUACAUCAGAUAAAUUCCAGACGGACUUCUCUGACAAUCGAAUUUCUACCGAACUUCACCAACAGAAAGUCUCCAUCCGA